rnacentral:rRNA from 1 species
UACGAAGGGUGCAAACGUUGCUCGGAAUUAUUGGGCGUAAAGCGCACGUAGGCGGCUCCGAAAGUCGGAUGUGAAAUCCCUCGGCUCAACCAAGGAAGUGCACCCGAAACUGUGGAGCUUGAGUAUGGAAGAGGGUCGCGGAAUUCCCGGUGUAGAGGUGAAAUUCGUAGAUAUCGGGAGGAACACCAGUGGCGAAGGCGGCGACCUGGGCCAAUACUGACGCUGAGGUGCGAAAGCGUGGGGAGCAAAC